rnacentral:rRNA from 1 species
UACGUAGGGUGCAAGCGUUAAUCGGAAUUACUGGGCGUAAAGCGUGCGCAGGCGGUUUUGUAAGUCAGAUGUGAAAUCCCCGGGCUUAACCUGGGAACUGCGUUUGAAACUACAAGGCUAGAGUGUGGCAGAGGGGGGUGGAAUUCCACGUGUAGCAGUGAAAUGCGUAGAGAUGUGGAGGAACACCGAUGGCGAAGGCAGCCCCCUGGGUUAACACUGACGCUCAGGCACGAAAGCGUGGGGAGCAAAC